rnacentral:rRNA from 1 species
CCCCUAGAUGUUCUGGGCAGCACGCGCGCUACAAUGGUCUUCGCAAACGGAUGCAUUCUCGAAGGAGAAUGCCAAUCUUGGAAUCUAUGCCUUGGUCGGGACAGUUGCUUGCAAUUUUUCGACUCGAACCAGGAAUUCCUUGUAAUCGUGAUUCGUCACAUCACGAUGAAUACGUCCCUGCCCUUUGUACACACCGCCCGUCGCUCCUACCGAUCGAAGAGUUAGGUGAAUUGUUUUGAUCGAUAAGAUUUGACUAUGGUCAACUCUCGUUGUGAAAUUCUGUGAAUCUGACUGUUUAGAGGAAGGAAAAGUCGUAACA